AGUUGGCCAAAAAUUAUUUUAAAAUCUUUUCACUGGGAGUAGAGUGGAUGGAUUUUAUUUGGUCAUAGAUGGUAAUUUUAGUACAGUAAGCUCUGCUAUAAUGCAAUAUGUGCAUUCCUAAAAAUCACCUCACUGUGUAAAACCGUGCAUUAAAACCACAGGGCUUACCACUCCGAAACUUUGUCUGUGACACUUAAAAGGAUAGGAAUAUAAUAAAAACAACAGCACUCUUUUAUAUAAAUAUUACGUGAUUAAGAAAUACAUAAAUACUAUGAUAAACAUGGCACUUUACCUUGAGAAAGACCUGAAGUUUUCUUAUGGAAGUGAGCAUCAGGAGGGUUGCAGAAUGUGAAUUAUUGUGAAGUGAUGGAAGGGAGGGUCUGUGAAAUUGGAGGGAAAGUUGUAAUACUAGUUGUGGGUGGGUGUGGCUCAUAGCAUGGAAGAGAAACUGAGGUGGCUGGUAGAUGUUUGACGGGUGAGUGUGUUUUGUGUAUUCCUACAUAUUUUGGUUCAUCUGGGUACAAUUUUUUGUGUUCAUCUAGGAUUUUUUCACAGAUAAAAGUAUGCAUAAGAAUGAUUGCCAUGGUCAAACUUGUUUAAUGUAUCAAUUAUGUUAGAACAAAUUUGUGUUUUUAAAUAGUGUUAAUGCAGAAUUUACUUAAUUUUUUAUGUCAUCCACAGGCCCAUCAUUUUGGUUUUAUAUGUUUUAUAGGGAUUCUAUAUUGGGUUCUUUUUACUGAAGUUUUGAAAUGAUUGCCUAAUAUUUACCUGCUACAUAACGUUUUAAGUGUCUUGCUGAAUUCUAAGUUUUUCCAGGCUAAUGAAUAAGUAAUGUGGAUGUGGAAUCAGAUUUUUGCUUGAGUCUGGUGGUGACUCAAUAUAAUACACACAGAAAAGUAUCAGUUCUUCUGUUUCAAGCAAGCAUACUAUCUCUGGUGGCCUUCCUAUUUUUGAAGUUGCUGUUAGGAUACUUUAAUCCUUAACAUGAAUCAGUAUAAAAGAAAGCAUGUGGGUGGUUGUGUUUGGGUGUCCUUUCCAUCCACUUGGUGCUUUUAUUUUCUGUGGUUGUUUUAUUCCACAGCUUAGCAACAGCAGAUUUCCAGGAGAAGUCUUAGUUCUUCAUCUCUCUCUCCUUCCUCUGGUCUGGUUGGUUGGUAACAGUGAGAGUAAAUGAAAUGCUUUUUGUUUUUCUGUCUUCCCACCACAGUGUCUUUGGUUUACUUUUAGGACCCUCAUUUUCAAUCUCUGAGCCAGAAGACCUGCCUUUAAAUCACAGCAUUUCAAUUCCUCCCUCCUAUCUAGGCAUUCCUUUAUGUUUCUACAGUACUCUGCAUGCAUCCCUGUUAUAAAAUGUAUCACAUUGUUUUGGAAUUUUCCAAAGUUGAGCUCUCUUUCUAAAUAAACUGUACUUCUUGAGGCCAUGGACCAUAUUUUUAUCAUUUAUACAUUUCUGUUACGUAACACAAUGCUUGGCAAUGGUGGUUGGGUGACUGGAUGGAAGAAUGAAUGAAGUAGGCUUGAAGAGAGCUGUACUUAUGAUCCUAUUAUAUAUGAUUUCUCUUCAUUUUGUCCACGUUAAUGAUUUCUAGAUAUCUUGGUCACUUGAACUUUAGUAAUAUGAAUCAUGCUGUGUAUUCAAACUUUUUAGCAGAGAAAUAAUAAAAUUCCUUUUGUAAACCAAAG
rnacentral:lncRNA from 1 species